CCUUUCCGCAAACCGUGUGUUUCUUUACCGCUCUCCCCCGAAACCUUUUAAGGGUUGUUUGGAGUACAGAGUCUCACUUUGUCACCCAGGCUGGAGUGCAGUGGCGCGAUCUCAGCUGACUGCAACCUCCUCCUCACAGUUUAGAUGCAAAAUCCACAAGUAUUCAAGUGAUUGUUAAAGAGGGAGGCCUGAAGUUGAUUCAGAUCCAAGACAAUGGCACCGGGAUCAGGAAAGAAGAUCUGGAUAUUGUAUGUGAAAGGUUCACUACUAGUAAACUGCAGUCCUUUGAGGAUUUAGCCAGUAUUUCUACCUAUGGCUUUCGAGGUGAGGCUUUGGCCAGCAUAAGCCAUGUGGCUCAUGUUACUAUUACAACGAAAACAGCUGAUGGAAAGUGUGCAUACAGAGCAAGUUACUCAGAUGGAAAACUGAAAGCCCCUCCUAAACCAUGUGCUGGCAAUCAAGGGACCCAGAUCACGGUGGAGGACCUUUUUUACAACAUAGCCACGAGGAGAAAAGCUUUAAAAAAUCCAAGUGAAGAAUAUGGGAAAAUUUUGGAAGUUGUUGGCAGGUAUUCAAUACACAAUGCAGG
rnacentral:sRNA from 1 species